UGCAGCUCUUUCCAUGUAUGCGUGCGUGCAGAAGGCCCUGGGUUAGCUGCUGCAGUGUUUCGGGGGAGGCGUCAUAGAAGACACGAUAGGAAAUGGCUUCAAUAAGAUAGAGCUGAGCUCCCGGCAUGGUUCCCAGCAGGGGUCUCUGCCUCCCUCUCCCUCUCUCUCUCACACACACACACAUACGUCUCUGUGGGUGAGGUGGGGGUAGAGUGGUGUGGGCUGUAGGACGGCGACGACCCACAAGGUCAGAGUAGGCAGCGUAUGAGGUUGUUUUUCUCUGUUUUCCUUUCCCUCUCAGCGGUGGAGCUGUGUGCUGCAUCCCCGGGUCUCUCCUCUCUCUCUGGUCAAUACCACCACGCAGCUCCUGACGAUCAAUGGAGGGUCAAUACCUCUCAGACGCCUGCCUCUUUGUGCUCUCUCUGAUUUAGCUACCACCUACCCUGGCAAUCUUUUUUUUUCCUCCUGCUACUUUUUUUUUUUUUUAAUGACCCAAAGGUCUCAGUUUAAACCCAUCAACCCCUUCUGAACUGCAAAAACACUGCAGUAAAUCUUAAAGUGUUUUCGACACGGCAUGAGACUCCCUGCUGGAGGAGGUGGGGGUUGGACUUUCACUUCCUGCCCCCUUGUUCAGGGUCACAGUUUAAGCUUCAUCCAUCAGUUCUCCAGACAAAGUGAAGGAGCCCACCACCAGAGCAAAGAAGCACAAAAACAGAAUCCAGGUUUCUCUACUGUAAGGAAAUCAUCUUUUUAUUGUUUUUAGAGAUUUAUCAAAACAUUUUAGAACACAUUCAAAAUGAGAUAUUUUUAAGCUCUUUUCUUGA